AUUGAACGCUGGCGGCAGGCCUACCACAUGCAAGUCGAACGACUGGCGGACGGGUGAGUAAUGUCUGGGAAACUGCCCGACGGAGCGGGAUAACUACCGGCAACGGUAGCUAAUACCGCAUCCCAUCCGACGUGCCCAGCAGGGAAAAGCCAGUAGGUGGGGUAACGGCUCACCUAGGCGGCGAUCCCUAGCUGGUGUGAGAGGAUGACCAGACACACUGGAACUGAGACACGGUCCAGACUCCACCGGGCGGCAGCAGUGGGGAAUAUUGCACGAUGGGCGCAAGCCUGAUGCAGCCAUGCCGCGGGGAGGAAGAAGGCCGUCGGGUUGUAAAGUACUUUCAGCGAGGAGGCGUUACUCGCAGAAGAAGCGCCGAAUAACACCGUGCCAGCAGCCGCGGUAAUAC
rnacentral:rRNA from 1 species